AUGUUAGGUCCUGUUAGUAGAGAUGUGGCAAACAAUUACAACUUUGUUUGGUCCAGUCCAAAAUUAACUGCGGAGUUAGAUUUUAGUUACUGGGAAAUUUUGAUGACAACACAUCUAAAAUCUCACAAUGUUUGGGGCUUUGUGAAUCGCAGUUUACAACAAGGAGCUGAUGAAAUUGCUCGUAGAAAGGAUCAGUUGGAACUUUCACCAAAUUCAUCAAAGAAUUGA